GUGCUUGUUUUAGCACCACACCUACUAAAAUUGGAACAUUACAGGGAAGAUUAGAAUGGCCCCUAUGCAAAAAUGAGACACAAAUUCAUGAAGCAUUCCAUAUUUUU
ensembl:snRNA U6 U6 spliceosomal RNA